rnacentral:rRNA from 1 species
AGUGAACGCUGGCGGUAGGCCUAACACAUGCAAGUCGAACGGCAGCACAGUAAGAGCUUGCUCUUGCGGGUGGCGAGUGGCGGACGGGUGAGGAAUACAUCGGAAUCUACUUUUUCGUGGGGGAUAACGUAGGGAAACUUACGCUAAUACCGCAUACGACCUACGGGUGAAAGCAGGGGAUCUUCGGACCUUGCGCGAUUGAAUGAGCCGAUGUCGGAUUAGCUAGUUGGCGGGGUAAAGGCCCACCAAGGCGACGAUCCGUAGCUGGUCUGAGAGGAUGUUCACCCACCAUGGAACUGAGACACGUCCCAAACUCCUACGGGAGGCAGCAGGGGGGAAUAUUGGCAAAGGGGCGCAAGCCUGAUCCAGCCAUACCGCGUGGGUGAAGAAGGCCUUCGGGUUGUAAAGCCCUUUUGUUGGGAAAAAAAAGCAGCAGGUUAAUACCCCGCUGUUCUGGCGGUACCAAAAGAAAAAGCACCGGCAAAUUUCGG